GCCAUAUUGAUAUAAAAGUUUGUCUUGUGAAAUACACGAUGUGCAGUAUUCCUGUAUGAUGUUUUCAAAUACACAUUUGCAUUGAAACUUGAAGCAGUUUUAUUUUAAGGACGCUACUGAGAAACAUAAUAAGUUUUAAAUUCUGGAAAGAUAUUUGCAUUUUUGAGCAUACGGCAUUUUCCGGGACCGCUAAACUUUUUAUAAGAUUAAAACGAUUUAAAUUGUAUCUUCAGCUAUAAUGCAUUAAUUUUGGUUUGAAUGUCCACACACAUCAAUGCAUUAAUGGUUGAAAUAAUAAUUCUAUUUUAAAAAGGGCUUUUGGUUUUCACACCCACAUUUGCGUUGAGACUACUGCGAGAGAGAAGUAGGUUUAUUUUAAGAAGGCUUCUGUUUUAAUUGCUACUUUAAAAGAUCAUAUUCACAUUAUAAUUACAUGUUGCGAUCUGAUAUUUGGAUUAAAGGUAUGUAAAUUAUGUCUUUGUAUAUAACAAUAAAAUCAGUAAUUUUGG